UCGGUAAUUCCAGCUCCNAUAGCGUAUAUUAAAGUUGUUGCAGUUAAAAAGCUCGUAGUUGGAUUUGUGGUGCGUUUGCGGCGUCCAUUUAUUUGGUUCUGCCGCGAGCGCGCCAUCCUUGGGUGGAUCCUGUGUGGCAUUAAGUUGUCGUGCAGGGGAUUCCCAUCGUUUACUGUGAAAAAAUUAGAGUGUUCAAAGCAGGCUUAUGCCGUUGAAUAUAUUAGCAUGGAAUAAUAAGAUAGGUCUUUGGUCCUAUUUUGUUGGUUUGCGGGCCAGAGAAAUGAUUAACAGGGACAGUUGGGGGUAUUCGUAUUCCAUUGUCAGAGGUGAAAUUCUUGGAUUUCUGGAAGACGAACUACUGCGAAAGCAUUUACCAAGGAUGUUUUCAUUAAUCAAGAACGAAAGUUAGGGGAUCGAAGAUGAUUAGAUACCAUCGUAGUCUUAACCAUAAACUAUGCCGACAAGGGAUUGGCGGGGUUCGUUACGUCUCCGUCAGCACCUUACGAGAAAUCACAAGUUUUUGGGUUCCGGGGGGAGUAUGGUCGCAAGGCUGAAACUUAAAGAAAUUGACGGACUGG
rnacentral:rRNA from 1 species